rnacentral:pre_miRNA from 1 species
UGAGUACUCCCUCCGUCCGGAAAUACUUGUCAUCAAAAUGAAUAAAAGGGGAUGUAUCUAGAUGUAUUUUAGUUCUAGAUACAUUCCUUUUUGUCCAUUUUGAUGACAAGUAUUUUCGGACGGAGGGAGUAGUUG